CAUUUCCAACAGUUAUCUCAUUGAGGAACUGGAUCGAAGGAUUGGCCAAGUUCUUUUUAGGUUUUGUUUUGUGAAUCUUCAUCAACUUCUGUAAAGUGAAUAGCAUUGUCGUUUUCAAAUUUUCCCACUAUCGUAUUCCGUUUGAGCUGAAGUGCGACAAAUUUUAAGGAAAAUCUGCUAUAUUAGUUGAUGAGACGCUGAAGUUGGUAGACUGCAGGCAACAACACAAAAAACUAGCGGCUCUAGAGAUGGAGCUUGCUGCGGCAAGACACAAAGGGUUUGUUGGAGAGUACUCUUCAGAGACCAACGGGACUUUUUCAAAGAAAAGACUUCUGGUUGUUAUAGGAAUAGCUACAGGAUUUGAACGGAAAAAACAUAGGGAUGCAGUUCGAAAGUCAUGGCUUUCAACUGGUGCAGACUUGCAGUGCAGCAAUGAAAAAAUUGGAAUUAGAAAAAGGUGUGGUAGCACGAUUUGUUAUAGGGAGUAGUGCAAAUCGUGGAGAUAGUGCAGAUAGAGAGAUUGACAAUGAAAAUUGGAAGACAAAAGAUUUCAUCAUACUUGGGAAAGGGGUCGAGGUGUUGUGAUAAGAAGUUGUUGCCUUGGUUUCCUUUGGUGAUGCAUGACUAUAGCAUGAAGUGAUCUCGGCUCUCUCAAGAAAUGUAUGUUUAUAGAAUGAAUAUAACACCGCUUCUCAUGUAGGUAUGAUAUGAAUGAGUAUGUUCUUGUUGUAUGGAUAAUGGGAUGUAUAUGUGCAUGUGUGGUGACGGUACGAGAUGGUGCCAUGGGAUGAGCUCCGGGGAGGGCCCUUCCAAAUAUGAACGAUGCUUUGGGCACAAUGCUUGCAACUCACUUGGACAAACAUCGUGCAUACAUUGGGUGUAUGAAAUCUGGCGAAGUUUUCUCUGACAAGAAUCAAAUGUGGUUUGAACCAGAGUGGUGGAAGUUUGGUGAUGGAAAAUUGCACGCUUCUGGAGAAAUGUUUGUGGUUUCUAGAGCUCUAGCACAGUUUAUUUCCAUUAACAGGGCUAUUCUUCGCACAUAUGCACAUGACGAUGUUAGUAUUGGAUCAUGGAUGAUUUGGUCUUAACGUGAAGCAAGUUAAUGAGGGAAAAUUAUGCUGCUCCAAGUGAUCAUCAGGAGCUGUAUGUGCUGCUCUAUGAAAAGUGCACAAUAAGAAACGUUGGCAUGGUGGAUUUUGUCCAAUCCUCUUCGAUCGUAUGACAAAAUGGAGCAUGGACUCAAUUUAGGAGUAAAUUGCUGAGAACAUCGCAGAUGCCAUGUCAGAAUUGUGUGGGAAAGAAGAGCUGCAGCAUAAGUGUUCUAAGAGUUGGCUUUUCCUCAGAAGAAACAAAGUUGAUUUCCUUAGGCUGAGAGCUUUGUGUUGAUCUGUAAAGUACAUUAUUCACACUUCUUUCAGAUGCUAUAUGUAAUCUUUAAUUAACCGCAAUUUCAUUUUUCUUGGAGAAAAUGUU